rnacentral:rRNA from 1 species
UACGGGGGAGCAAGCGUUGUUCGGAUUUACUGGGCGUAAAGGGCGCGUAGGCGGCCACCGCAAGUCGACUGUGAAAUCUCCGGGCUUAACUCGGAACGGUCAACUGAUACUGCGCGGCUAGAGUGCAGAAGGGGCAACUGGAAUUCUCGGUGUAGCGGUGAAAUGCGUAGAUAUCGAGAGGAACACCUGCGGCGAAGGCGGUUGCUGGGCUGACACGUGACGCUGAGGCGCGAAAGCUAGGGAGCGAACGGG